ensembl:lncRNA
GGGAGGAAGGAAACGGGGAUAGGUGAACGCCAGGCGGUACCAUUUUCCCCACCCUAGGCUGAGCUGUUUUAUUCAUAGGCUGACUCGACAUCCACUUGGAAGCAAAUCCCCUCUCCUGGUGGCGGGCUGACUCGACAUCCACUUGGAAGCAAAUCCCCUCUCCUGGUGGCGGGCUGAACCACCUCAGCUGUCCGAUGAAUGGAGUUGCCUUUUGCCUUGUUGGAAUCCCACCCUACUCAGAGCACCAAGGUAACGGGAGGAGGGAUGGUCUGCCCUCGACCAGUGACAACCCCCGGCCGGCCUUGGCGACGUGCCCAGGGAGAGACGGAGGAGGAGGGGGGGG